UAACUUACUUGGCGCGGAGGACACCGUGAUCAGGAAGGCGGUUCCUUCUGGGCGAGGCCCUUCCAUUGCACUGCGGUGGGGCUGAACCUUGCGAAUACUCCUAAUGUGGGUAUGUCGAGCGCACAAUUUUUGGUAGUCGGGACCAGCGUUCGCGCUGUCCCGGA